rnacentral:misc_RNA from 1 species
AACGCACCUUGCGCUCCCGGGCUAUUCCUGGGAGCAUGUUCGUUGGAGUGUCGCGUACCUCUCAACCCCGCCUUGUCACCAAGGUAGACACUUAGGGUUGGAUCGUGGCCCGUGUGCUUCGCCGAAAGGCAAAGCUGGGCUGAAUGACAAGAAGCUGUACCCACAGGCGGCUUGACCCGUUGUCGUAAAAUAAACUCAACAGGGAUCGCCAAGCGGGAUGGGCUUACCAUAAAUCAUCAUUAUACAUUUUGACCUCCAAUCGAGCAGGACUACCCCCUGAACUUAA